rnacentral:rRNA from 1 species
CCUACGGGCGGCAGCAGUGGGGAAUAUUGGACAAUGGGGGCAACCCUGAUCCAGCCAUGCCGCGUGUGUGAAGAAGGCCCUCGGGUUGUAAAGCACUUUCAGUGAGGAAGAACGCCUGGUGGUUAAUACCCAUCAGGAAAGACAUCACUCACAGAAGAAGCACCGGCUAACUCCGUGCCAGCAGCCGCGGUAAUACGGAGGGUGCGAGCGUUAAUCGGAAUUACUGGGCGUAAAGCGCGCGUAGGUGGCUCGAUAAGCCGGUUGUGAAAGCCCCGGGCUCAACCUGGGAACGGCAUCCGGAACUGUCAAGCUAGAGUGCAGGAGAGGAAGGUAGAAUUCCCGGUGUAGCGGUGAAAUGCGUAGAGAUCGGGAGGAAUACCAGUGGCGAAGGCGGCCUUCUGGACUGACACUGACACUGAGGUGCGAAAGCGUGGGUAGCAAACAGGAUUAGAUACCCCUGUAGUC